rnacentral:rRNA from 1 species
AAAUUGAAGAGUUUGAUCAUGGCUCAGAUUGAACGCUGGCGGCAGGCCUAACACAUGCAAGUCGAACGGUAACAGGAAGCAGCUUGCUGCUUCGCUGACGAGUGGCGGACGGGUGAGUAAUGUCUGGGAAACUGCCUGAUGGAGGGGGAUAACUACUGGAAACGGUAGCUAAUACCGCAUAACGUCGCAAGACCAAAGAGGGGGACCUUCGGGCCUCUUGCCAUCGGAUGUGCCCAGAUGGGAUUAGCUAGUAG